UACGGAGGGGGCUAGCGUUGUUCGGAAUUACUGGGCGUAAAGCGCACGUAGGCGGUUUCUUAAGUCGGGGGUGAAAUCCUGGAGCUCAACUCCAGAACUGCCUUCGAUACUGAGAGACUUGAGUCCGGGAGAGGUGAGUGGAACUGCGAGUGUAGAGGUGAAAUUCGUAGAUAUUCGCAAGAACACCAGUGGCGAAGGCGGCUCACUGGCCCGGUACUGACGCUGAGGUGCGAAAGCGUGGGGAGCAAACAGGG
rnacentral:rRNA from 1 species